CCUACGGGAGGCAGCAGUGGGGAAUAUUGGGCAAUGGGCGCAAGCCUGACCCAGCAACGCCGCGUGAAGGAAGAAGGCUUUCGGGUUGUAAACUUCUUUUCUGAGGGACGAAGAAAGUGACGGUACCGCAGGAAUAAGCCACGGCUAACUACGUGCCAGCAGCCGCGGUAAGACGUAGGUGGCAAGCGUUAUCCGGAUUUAUUGGGUGUAAAGGGCGUGGAGGUGGGAAAGCAAGUCAGCUGUGAAAACUCAGGGAUCAACCCUGAGCCUGCAUUUGAAACUGUUUUUCUUGAGUGCUGGAGAGGCAAUCGGAAUUCCGUGUGUAGCGGUGAAAUGCGUAGAGAUACGGAGGAACACCAGUGGCGAAAGCGCUUUACUGGACCAUUAUUGACGCGGAGGAACGAAAGCCAGGGGAGCAAAUGGGAUUAGAUACCCGAGUAGUC
rnacentral:rRNA from 1 species